AAGGAAUUUUUAAGAAAUAGAGACGUGUAAAUGAUUUUGUCUCACCAAUGAAAAGGAAUUCAGCAGAGGUACUGCUACAGAAUUUGCAGAAGGGAGAAUUACAGCUUCGUGUUGUAAUAGAGAAAGAAACAGAGAAUGUAAAAUUUAAGUGAAAUUAUUUUGGGGAAUGAAUGAAUCAGAAUUAUUUUGGAGAAAAACUUCUCUAGCCAAAUCAUCAUGUGGUGGACAGAAACAAACUGGAUGAUCAAAGAACAAUCAGCACCACACAGGUUACCCUUGGGAGAGACAAAACACAGAAAAUACAAAAAUGCAGUAAGAAUUCAGAACAUCUGAGGAGUGACUGACAGAGGGCUGUGUGUUUACAGUCUCACAAGAGCAUGUCUCAUCCAGUUCAGCUUACAAGUCCAGCAGGAUGAUGAAAGUUUGCUAAUUGCCUGAGCACUUGUGAAGCAGCAAAGAGACCACACUGUCACAGGUAUUUGAUGUUUGACAGGACAGCUAUUCUGCUUCUGGAUAUUCAGGCCCAAAGAAUGGUGGGGAAAGAAUUACAUCCAGCUGGGGCUGAUCACAAGUGAUGUGCUGCAGGCCAGCUCUGUUUAAUGUCUGCAUCAAUGAUCUGGAAGAGGGGAUCAAGUGCAACCUCAGAGGGUGCAGCCAGGUGGGCAGUCAGUCUCUUCUCCCAAGUCACAAGUGACAGAAUAUGAAAGGCAAUGGACUCAAGUUGCAACAGAGUGGAUAUCAGGAAUAUUUCUUGGCGGAAACUGUUGUGAAGCAUGGGAACAGGCUGCCCAGGGAAGUGAGUCAUCAUCCCUGCAGCUUUACCUCUAUUCACCUACAUAUGCAUCUAAAAGUAUCUCGACUAAUACCAGGAGAACUACUCUGCCUUUAAUGUGGAGGAACAAAACAGACCACGGCUCACUACUCACUCAGCAUCUCUGACUGAUGGGAAGAUGUCACACCUAACAACUACAACACAUGGCUUUGGACUGGCAUGCAACCAAAAUCCAUUGAAAAAGGAGAGGAAUGCCAAGACAGAAAAUAGCUCCUCCUCGAUGACAGGCGUAACAGACUUCACUGCUAUGUUAAUAGACAGAUGAAUGUGUUUAGCAUAUUUCAAACUAUUAUUAAAAAAAACCCAAGAAUUGAAGUCCUUGCUAUCAUGUCUGCAACUUUCCCAAAAAUAUUGAAUAUGUGAUGCCUUCAUCCAACCCUGAGCAUAUUCUCAGUGCACACUGGGCAGAUGUGCUCUGCCAUCCCUUCAGCUGACCAGCAGCAGCAGGCUUGCAGCAAGGCUCUGAACCCCAGUUAAACUCCUGCUUCCCAGCUGAGCUUGCUGCCCUGGCCUGAGUGCCUCAUUAACCCUGGCAACGUGGAUCCUGGCUGGGUCAGAGGUCCCACAGCACCUGAGAGCUGCCUGCAAAAGGCUGCUGGGACUGCACUGCAUGCACUUAAACCCCACCAGCAUGGAGAUUUAACAGGAUUUGGGGCACUGCAUGUAGGACUGCCUGCCUUUAAAUUGUUCCAGUACAGCCAGAUUCUACAUUUUAAAAGGUGUUCAAUAAUCCAAUAAUGAUGCUUAAAACAAAUCUGUUGAAAUGCAUGAACUAAUACAUUUUUAAACACCGUUUCCCAACUCUACUCAUGUCCCAAUUAAAGAGAUUUUUGAGGCUUGCAUUCUAUUCAGGGAAGUGGGAAAAAAUAACUGAUUGAGCCAGAAAAAAUUUCUAAUGGCAAAUUUAUUCUAUUUGGAAAAUUAUUUAUUCUAUUUGGCAAAUUAAUACCAAGUGAAUGGAAUAAUGAACUGAAUGCAGGGAAGGGGAGGAAGUGAAAACCUCUUUGGAUAGAUCUGGGGAGAAGAUCAUGACAAAUGUACCAGAGGAAAAGCUAAACAGCCUUUCCCUUUUGCUGAGGAACAAAGGUCACAGAUGAACAGCAAAGCAGGAGAGUGUAUCACCUUCUGUAAAGUGUGCUUAGAUGGGAUAAAAGGCUUCUUGACCUUUGAAAAAGGUAGUUGUUAAUCUUAUACUUACAACCUGCAUCUUGCUCCAGAAAUUAGAAUUGUUCUGAAUCAAAUGAACACACAUCAUGACAUGAUGACAGCUAAAAAGUGUUCAAGGUCUCUACAUAAGCCAGAUGUAAAGCCCUGGCAGGGGACAAAAGACAAAUCUCAGCUAAGAAUGAUUUGAUGAAAAAUAUAAUUGUGUAAAGAAGCUCUGAAAAUCACUCUAAGACGUAUUUAUGUGAGUUUCAAUGGAAUAGUUAUUCAAUUCAUAAAUUGUGCCCCAUUUUUCUCGCUUCCCUCUUUCUUUGUAUUUUUACAAUUUCUGUUUCUUUGCCAAACGGAUUUAAUCAAUUAAAAAUGUAUUAUUAUACUUCUAUAAAGCUCACAGCAUUUACAAAUGUAUUGACAAGCACUGAUUACUGUGCUUCCUUUCAGAGAGCAGCUUAACAAAAUGGCCACUAGCAGAAAACAGACAUGUCUCCUUCUAAAAUUCAGAAACUUACAGGAAACCUGGCAACAAGAUAGUAUGAAGAAAAUUCUAAACCUUCUGCAUUUAUGAUAUCUGCUUAGGUUUAGUGUGGACUGCUAUUAAAGGAGGGAACAUUUCUUUCACAAGGGCACAACAAGAAAAUAUUAGGCUUCAAAAAAAAAAAAGCAGAAAAUUUUGCAAUCUCAGAAUUGUUUGAGAUCUCAGCAAACCUAAGUGGUCCUGAGACCAUCCAGCUCUCUGCAAUCAUUUCUCCAAAACGAUCAGAAUCCUUUUUUUGAAGCUUCUUUGCCUCCUGCAGCUGACAGAUAUUUGACACUGUUAAUGAUCACAGUGGGUAUUGAAAGCCAGCAGCCACUAUUAACCUUCAGUGCUCUAGAGAAGCAAGGUGGUCUGUCUCUUCUCCUUGACAUAACAAGAACCAUUUUUCCACUGCAGGAAUUAACAGUAAUUGGCUCUUAUUCUGAUUGUGCCAUACACACUCAAUGAUAAUUUGCAGGUGCAAAGGCAGGCAAGUUUCUCAAUGUACAUUAAUCUCUUGGCUCUGAAAAGAUACUUUUUAUUUUUAUAAAACUUUUUAUGGAAGUUUUUGUUACCAAAAGAAAUUCAUUCACACAAAAAAUCCCAACCUCUUUCCCUUUUGCAAGUUAAAAAUCAGGAACUGAAGCCUGUAAACAAGACUGUUCAAAUAAAGGAAAUAUAUAAUUAGAUCUUAAUUUUAGAGGAAGGAACUGAUAAUUGUGUGAUUACCCUUCAGCUAUGGGAACAUCUUGCUCCAGUAAUGGUCCUAUUGAAUUACAUAAGGCCACUUCUGAAACAAGAUAAUAUUCUAUCCAAAUAUUAGUUGAGAGUCUUAAACACUAAACUAAAUUAUUUCAACAGUCCUACACAACACGCACUUGAUCUGAAGUAUCCAGACCAUCAGAUUUUCCUGUUAAAUACUGUCAAGUCAAUGCUGGCAAUACUGCCAAAUUAAAAUUCAGACACUCUUAAAAUGCAAAUUAUUUUAUGCAUGUUUAUUUUAUAUAUGAAAACUUGAAACUGCUGCUUUUUAAAAAUCUAAUUCUAUUCUCAUUUUAUCUUUUCUAGAUAUUUCUCCAUUCAACUUAUUUUUGUUUCUUCUUCUCACUUGGCAAUGGAAAAAAUCCCCAGUGACUUUCAACAUAUAUGUAACUGCUUAUAUAUUGGGAUAUCAGGGUAUUAAUAACCAUAAAAUGGUUGCAAUGACUAGACUAAAAAUAACAAUAUAACAUGUUAAAUUCUAAAGUAUCAACACAUUUCUUUGGAAUUAUAAAAGACCACAAAAACCAGCUGAAUACAUUCUAUGGUUCAUUAAAACACUAGUUUUACAAAAUCUACAUCUACAGACUAAACCAAGCUUAGUGGUUCCACCUUUAAAAUUGAAAAAAAACUCCCAUUUCUCGAUCCCUUUGAGCAGGUUUUAAAUAAAAAAUUUGAAAGGGUAACAAGCAAAUAAGCAAAACACCUAAAAGACUGAAAUACAUCAAGCAGCCUGGUGCAGAAAGAAUACACAGAAACAUCUUUAUUGAUAGAUGAUAUUUUUUAAUAAAAAGUAGCAACUAAACAUAUGGUUGUAUUUCCCUCUGUUUCUCUAGAUAAAAACAGUCUAUUAAAUAAAUUUGAAAACUGAAACAUUAUAGUCUGUCAAAGUGAUUUUGAAGGAUGUAUAUGUAUAUAUAAGAGCCUGGAAUUUGAACACUCAGAGCAAUGAAACUGCAGUAAAAGUUGCACAGCUGAGCUAAUUUUUUUAUUUAAGAUAUAGCCUUAAUGUUCCUUAUGUGAUAUUUGGGUGUAUGCAACUCUUCAAGUAUUUUGUUCUGUUCUAUUUUUCAGCCCUUCAAGGCAAAGUUCAGCAAUUAUAAAUCUUACUUUAAAGCAGUUUCAAGAGAAAGACA